GUCCAUAUUCUUGAUUUGUAGCACAAGAAAGAAAGUCCUCUCUCCCAUCAUGAACAUUUCAAAUCCACCUUUCAUUAACUCAGAAAACAAUGUAUAAGCUGUUGCUUGUAGAUUGAAACCUCUCCUUAGGCUGAAAGGUGGUUUUCUAUGUCCUUUUCUUUCUUUCUUUCUUACUUUAAAUGGAUGUGAUGUUCUCAAAUGUUUAAGUCAGGCAACCAUUUGUUGCAAAUAUCUUGAACAAAUAUC